CCUACGGGAGGCAGCAGUGAGGAAUAUUGGUCAAUGGGCGGGAGCCUGAACCAGCCAAGUCGCGUGAGGGAAGACGGUCCUAUGGAUUGUAAACUUCUUUAGGCGGGGAGCAAUGCCGGGCACGCGUGCCCGGAGGGAGAGUACCCGCAGAAUAAGCAUCGGCUAACUCCGUGCCAGCAGCCGCGGUAAUACGGAGGAUGCGAGCGUUAUCCGGAUUUAUGGGGUUUAAAGGGUGCGUAGGCGGAUUUUUAAGUCAGCGGUAAAAUGUCCGGGCUCAACCCGGGCCGGCCGUUGAAACUGGGGAUCUUGAGUGGACGAGAGGUAUGCGGAAUGCGUGGUGUAGCGGUGAAAUGCAUAGAUAUCACGCAGAACUCCGAUUGCGAAGGCAGCAUACCGGCGCCCGACUGACGCUGAGGCACGAAAGCGUGGGGAUCGAACAGGAUUAGAUACCCCAGUAGUC
rnacentral:rRNA from 1 species